UAAAACGUAGGAGGCGAGCGUUACCCGGAUUUACUGGGCGUAAAGGGCAUCUAGGCGGUGUCUUAGGUUGGAUGUGAAAUCCUCCGGCUCAACUGGAGGGGGUCAUUCAAUACCGGGACACUUGAGGGCAGGAGAGGGAAGUGGAAUUCUCGGUGUAGUGGUAAAAUGCGUAGAUAUCGAGAGGAACACCAGUGGCGAAGGCGGCUUCCUGCCCUGCACCUGACGCUAAAGUGCGAAAGCGUGGGGAGCGAACGGGAUUAGAUACCCCGGUAGUCCACGCCCUAAACGAUGGGUACUAGGUGUCGGUGGUAUUGACCCCAUCGGUGCCGAAGUUAACGCGUUAAGUACCCCGCCUGGGGACUACGAGCGCAAGCUUA
rnacentral:rRNA from 1 species